rnacentral:misc_RNA from 1 species
UAACCAACAAGUGACCUUGAAGAGAACCACUGCCAAAAGAAGACCCAAAAGAAAAUGAGGCCACUAGGAGAGGUGUAACACCCCUCACCUGACUAUAGUGUAGCUGAACAAGGCAUACUACAUUCGGUAUCAUAAUACACUAUCUUAUCUUACUUUAUUCCUUUAAUCAUUUUCAAGUUAUUAUCUUUUAAUAUCAAUUAUUUUUCGACAGAAAAACUAACGGAGUUUCCUUUAUUUUACUAUCGUUUGACGUGUUUUACUAUUCACCUAUUUGAAAUUCAACAAUAAUAUUUUAAAAUAAAAAUCUCAUCAUUUCAUGCAUCAUUUAUAUAUUUCAAUUCCGUAUUCAAAUCCAUACAAUUUCAUUCAUAUUCAUUUCCGUACAUUCCCAUUCAUGUUCAACUCAUAUAUGAAAAUUUUCAAUCUUCAUUAAUUUACAUAAUAUAUAAUUUAAUCACAUAUGAAUUAACCGAUUUAUUAAUUUACAUCACAUACCUAUUAAUUACAUUUUUAUAAUUUACAUUACAAUACUAUAACUAAGCAUUUUAUGUAACAUAUAAAUUAUGACAUAUAUGGGCCCUAUCUACAUGCAUUGCUGAGAAAGUGACAAUUUUAAAUACUUCAGACACUUCUGCAGAUCAGAACUCUAAAAUCUCUGUUUAAUAUUCACUGGGCUUUACCUUCAGUAACUGCGCGAGAAAACAAAUUCAUCGCGCUACGCAUUGCUGCUUAAUGGUGCAAUAAUAUAACAAAGGAAAUAAUAUAUACAAAUAAAGAA